rnacentral:rRNA from 1 species
AUACGGAGGGGGCUAGCGUUGUUCGGAAUUACUGGGCGUAAAGCGCACGUAGGCGGAUUAAAAAGUUAGAGGUGAAAUCCCAGGGCUUAACCCUGGAACUGCCUUUAAAACUAGUAGUCUAGAGUUCGAGAGAGGUGAGUGGAAUUCCAAGUGUAGAGGUGAAAUUCGUAGAUAUUUGGAGGAACACCAGUGGCGAAGGCGGCUCACUGGCUCGAUACUGACGCUGAGGUGCGAAAGCGUGGGGAGCAAACAGGAUUAGAAACACCAGUAGUCC